AAAUGAGGAUUUUUGACAGCCAAACAUUCCUCUAUUAAGUAUUCAAGGGGAAUUCUACAAUUACUGCAAGCUGUACAUGGACCUAGAGAAGUUUCUGUUAUGCCUUGUAAAGGUCAGCAGAAGGGGGAUUCACUUCAGGCUAAGGCAAGCAGGCUUGCAGAUUCAGCAACCCAUGUUGCUGCCAUUUGUACCUGAUCAUGGCACCUUUGAUUCCCUAACUCUCUGACUUCUAUACUCCCUCAUAUAGCUCCCAGGAAUAGGCCUUGCUAAAGAAAGGGGUUAGGCUGUUUCUCCUUCUGGGUGGUUUCAACACCUUCAGCCCAGCUUUUAAUCCCAGAGCCUCAUGAACUACCAACUACUUGUCCAGCCUAUCAUCUGCUACCUUAUUCUGAGACUCGGCUUAACCUGGAUGCUGCUGCCAACAUCUUCGAGUCACAUGUCUUCCCUCCUCAAUCUGGACCCUACUAGGCAGGGCCAACUCUAUACCACUUAGCCUGAUGAAACUCCAGAAGAUGAGACCUUCAUCCCUUUGUCCCAAAUGAAUUUGGGUCCCAAAUGCUGAGGGGAGAUUAAUAGGGUGUAGCUUGAAGGACAGACAUAAAGUGAUUUGCUUGCUGGCGCCAUUGAGAGCAGUGCCGUGGAGGAGAGCUGAGGCAGGACAACAUAAAAACCCGGUAUGUAAGCAGGAGUGAGGGGGCAUGAUGGAGGAUAAAAGAACUCAGGGGGCAUGAUGGAGGAUAAAAGAAGAACUCAGCCAGCAAUCAUUGUGCUAAAGAAAUGAAGAACUUCCUUGCAGAGAGAAGAAUAGAUCAAGUAAUGAUUCCUGUAGGAAUGACUGCCUAUCUCCAGACCCUUGAUAUUGCAAUAAACAAGCCAUUCAAGGACCAUUUGCGCAUGGAAGUCAAUGACUACAUUGAAAAUAGAAUGGAAAGAAAUCAGCGUGGAAACUUUGUGAAGCCCUGUCUGCAAGAAGUCGUGACUUGGGUGAAGAAGUCAUAGGAUAAAAUUACUGACAGCUGUGUCGCCAAGGCACUACAAGCAGGUUACCUGGACAAGACAUGUUCAUUUAAAGAGAGCUAUAUUGCUGGACAUGACAGAUUGGGUCCACUUCUUCUGAAGGAAAUAGAGGCGCAAGACAUCCAGGAUAGAAUUCAGGGUAUGGACACUUAUGAUGAUGUUGUUGAAGAAGAUGACAUGAUCAUUAUUGAAUAAAGGUACUUUUUUGUUGUUCACAUUUACCUGUUUAUUAAAAUUGCUGUCAAUGUUCAUUAAAAUAAGCCCUCCCCUGAAAAUAAGCCCUCUGGUGUUUUUCUGUCAAAAAAAUUUAAUAAGUGUCUUUUUAUCGGGGAAACUCGGUAUAAACCCUACUUGGUCACAAUGUAUAAUCUUUAUAAUGUAAUCUUUUAGCUAGUAUUUUAUUUAGGAUUUUUGCAUCCAUAUUCAUUAAUGAAAUUGGAUUAUAAUUUUCUUUUUCUGUUUUUAUUCUUCCUGGCUUAGGUAUCAGUGUCAUAUUUGUUUCAUUAAAGCAGUUUGGUAGGAUCUCUUUUUUUGCCUACUAUUCCAAAUAAUUAAUUUAAUAGUAGAAUUAGUUGAUCUUUAACUACUUAAUAGAAUUCACUGUAAUUGUAGUACAUCUAGUAGAUGAAUGUAAAUUCAUCUGAUCUUGGUGCUUUUUUUCUUAAGAAACUCAUUUAUGAUCUGUUCAAUUUAUUUUUUUAAAACAGGACUAUUUCUUUUCUGCUAAUAUAGGCAGUUUAUAUUUUUGUAAAUAUUCUUGCAUUUUAUUUAAUUGUUAAGUUUAUUGGUAUGUAAUUGAGCAAAAUGACUCCUUGCAGUUGCUUUAAUUUCAUCUUCAUCAAUUGUGUAGUUCUACUUUUCAUUUUUAAUAAUAUAGAUUUGAUUUUUUUCUCCUUUUAAAUAAAAUUAAUCAAUUGUUUUGUGAAAAAA